GACGAACGCUGGCGGCGUGCUUAACACAUGCAAGUCGAACGGAAAGGCCCUGCUUUUGUGGGGUGCUCGAGUGGCGAACGGGUGAGUAACACGUGAGUAACCUGCCCUUGACUUUGGGAUAACUUCAGGAAACUGGGGCUAAUACCGGAUAGGAGCUCCUGCUGCAUGGUGGGGGUUGGAAAGUUUCGGCGGUUGGGGAUGGACUCGCGGCUUAUCAGCUUGUUGGUGGGGUAGUGGCUUACCAAGGCUUUGACGGGUAGCCGGCCUGAGAGGGUGACCGGCCAAAUUGGGAAUGAGAUACGGCCCAGACUCCUACGGGAGGCAGCAGGGGGGAAGAGUGCACAAGGGGCGGAAGCCUGAGGCAGGAACGCCGCGUGCGGGAUGACGGCCUUCGGGUUGGAAACAGCUUUCGCCUGUGACGAAGCGUGAGUGACGGUAAUGGGUAAAGAAGCACCGGCUAACUACGUG
rnacentral:rRNA from 1 species